rnacentral:lncRNA from 1 species
CCGUAGGACCAUCAUGUAUAGUUCGAUAUAUCAUGUGACACAUGUUUUGUUUUGUUUUGUAUGGUAGUUAGACACAUUUUCAGACGAUUGAAUGGCGUCACAAGUUGUCCUUUCAUUCAUGAUGAGCAUGGCAUGCAUAUUCAAUGACGACACACUGAUCUUUCAUCAUAGCUCACAAAAGCAUAAAGUCACAAAAAAAGCUCACAAAAGCAUAACACACACAUCCAAUCUAUCAUCCACAUAUUUCGCUGAAGCCAUCAUCCACAGAAUUCAUAGGAUUGACAUCAAAAGUCUUAAAUCAUACACAAUUCAUUGAAGCAAACAUGCAUACACAUAAGUUCCAGGUUCCAACCACACAUUAUUCGAGCACACUUGUUCUAGCACAUAGUUCCAGGUUCCACCAUAGAGGUUGUAAUAGAUAAACAGAUAGCACAUUGUACUGAUAAAGUUCCAACCACACAGAGUAAGUUCUAGCUAGGUAGCAAUAACUUAGGCAAAAGCCUCGUCCUC